GCCUGGGUGGUGGAAUUGGUAGACACACCAUCUUGAGGGGGUGGCGUCGCGAGGCGUGCUGGUUCGAGUCCAGUCCCAGGCACCA
rnacentral:tRNA from 1 species